GAUGAACGCUGGCGGCGUGCCUAAUACAUGCAAGUCGAGCGAACGGACGAGAAGCUUGCUUCUCUGAUGUUAGCGGCGGACGGGUGAGUAACACGUGGAUAACCUACCUAUAAGACUGGGAUAACUUCGGGAAACCGGAGCUAAUACCGGAUGAUAUUUUGAACCGCAUGGUUCAAAAGUGAAAGACGGUCUUGCUGUCACUUAUAGAUGGAUCCGCGCUGCAUUAGCUAGUUGGUAAGGUAACGGCUUACCAAGGCAACGAUGCAUAGCCGACCUGAGAGGGUGAUCGGCCACACUGGAACUGAGACACGGUCCAGACUCCUACGGGAGGCAGCAGUAGGGAAUCUUCCGAAAAGGGCGAAAGCCUGACGGUGCAACGCCGCGUGAGUGAUGAAGGUCUUCGGAUCGUAAAACUCUGUUAUUAGGGAAGAACAUAUGUGUAAGUAACUGUGCACAUCUUGACGGUACCUAAUCAGAAAGCCACGGCUAACUACGUG
rnacentral:rRNA from 1 species